AAAAGUGGGCUUAUGUGACUUGCCCCUCGCCACAGCAUGGACAGAGAUACAGGAAGCCUGAAUCUUGAUAGAUAUCGGCAUCCACCUGACUCUCACAAACAUAUUCUAAACAGCUAGGGGCUGAACAGAGGAAACACGCCCAAACUGGCUUUCCCAUGGAAAUGAAUACAGCACCAGGAGAUCGCCAGGUUGAAAGCCUGGAUACUGGAUAAAGAGAGGAGAAUUAACAUGGACCAGGGUUCAUUACUGCUUCUGCUACAUGACUUUUUUGAAUGCACACUUGCAAUGAGUAGUCUCAGCAUCAGCAUUAUGCAGAUUCCCUACAGUGUACAAGGAGACCAAUGGCAGGGGUCAACCCAGGAGAGGUGAGCCUCAGUAAACAUUUACUUAAAUAGUCUACUAGCUGGUUUCUGUCUGAAGAAAGGGUGUCUACAUUAUUUCAUUCUCUGUGCUUCUUUGAAGCAUGGACAGCUGCUUUUGCCAAACUGCUGAACUAUAUAACAAAUCUGCAAUAUCCACAAACAGGGGUUGGAAUGAGAUACUCCGGUUUAUUUUCAUUUGACGGGGUUUAAGUACUGAACAGAGUGUUUAGAAAUCAAAGGCUAAUACCAGCUCUCUUUAUGACCUCUUUCCCUGCCAUAUGUGGGUCUGUUGUACUGAAAUUGCCUUUUCAGGAUGAAAAUAGGAAUGUAAAUGGGACAGACUUCAAAACAGGUGAAAACUGC
rnacentral:lncRNA from 1 species